rnacentral:rRNA from 1 species
AGUGAACGCUGGCGGUAGGCCUAACACAUGCAAGUCGAACGGCAGCACAGUAAGAGCUUGCUCUUACGGGUGGCGAGUGGCGGACGGGUGAGGAAUGCAUCGGAAUCUACUUUUUCGGGGGGGAUAACGUAGGGAAACUUACUCUAAUACCGCAUACGCCCUACGGGUGAAAGCAGGGGAUCUUCGGACCUUGCGCGAUUGAAUGAGCCGAUGUGGGUUUAGCUAGUUGGCGGGGUAAAGGCCCACCAAGGCGGCGAUCCGUAGCUGGUCGGAGAGGAUGAUCAGCGACAUUGGAACUGAGACACGGUCCAGACGACUACGGGAGGCAGCAGUGGGGAAUAUUGGACAAUGGGCGCAAGCCUGAUCCAGCCAGCCCGCGUGGGUGAAGAAGGCCUUCGGGUUGUAAAGCCCUUUUGUUGGGAAAGAAAAGCAGCAGGUUAAGACGCCGCUGUUCUGACGGUACCCAAAGAAUAAGCACCGGCUAACUUCGUG